rnacentral:tRNA from 1 species
GGCGGCGUAGCCAAGUGGUUAAGGCGAAGGACUGCAAAUCCUUUAUCCCCCGGUUCGAAUCCGGGCGCCGCCU